UUUGGCCUAGAAAUUUAAGAU
rnacentral:piRNA from 1 species